GGUAGCUGUGCGUCACAUACAGUCCAGUACACGACUAGCGAAACACUAUGGAAGUUCGCGCAACCAGCGAGGAAACUACUGUAUUUAAUGCUUCCGCAACAUUCAGAUCUUAUGUUUGGAAAUCCUACGGCUUCGAAAAGAAAGACGGAAAGAUUGAUAAAAGCUCCGUAAUUUGCAAAGAAUGUCGCACUACGAAGCCAUACAACGGCAGCACCAUAAAUAUGCAGACCACUUAAAACGAUGGCACCACAUCACCGACAAGUUUCCCCCCGCCUCCCCGUCCAGUUCCUCGUUGGACACCGGAGAAACUCUUGGCAAACCAGGUCAGGAUCAGAAAAAAAUCGCCUCUUAUUUUGGGGGUCCCCUUGCAGCUCACUGUGACCGCGCAAGGAAAAACUAUAUAUGGAUGAAUUUUUUGGACAUUUCAUUUUGACACUCAGUGAGAGUGGUCUGUGUACGCUACAAUACACACAGCAGCUUUGAGGCUGUGACUGCCACAUUGUUUCAAUUAUAUUUUUUUUCUGUCCUAUGGAGAUGGAUAUUUCAUAUAAGACACUCAGUGAGUAGUCUGUGUUUACACUACAGCAACAGCUGUGAGUCUCAGGUGCCAAAUUGGUUACAUUUUCUUUGCACAAAACUCAAUUGUGAAAGGGCUUACAUAAGUUGUUUUACACGUUCUACUCUUUAAAAUGAAUAAAUUGGUCUACUUUUUGCAAUACCAUACUGAACUUUUUUUCUUUGCGUAUUUGCAUCAUGUUUAAUUGCACAAUAUCACAACAAAUUGCACUGUAUCGUAUCGGAUCGCAUUGAUUUGAACUAAAUGUGUAUCGUGUCGUAUCACAUCGUGUAGACGGUGAAACGUAUCGCAUCGUGUCGCCAGAAAAUUCUAUGUAUCGAUCAAGUAUCGAAUCGCUGGUAGUGCAUCGAGAUGUGUAUCGAAUCGUCCUCAGUGCUGAGAUUCACAUCUCUACUCUUGACUUUGCUUCUCCAAUACUGUUUUGUUGCUUGUGAAUUGAACACUCUUCCUCUUCAAGCCUCUUGUCACGUGUUUUGUCUUCCACACUGCUGCUGUCAGAGCUGUCUACUAAGCACAGGAUGUCCAAUCGUUAUCGAACACUUCAUCUGGAUACCCCAGUGCCUCUCUCUCUCUCUCUUUACCAAUGAAUAAACCGGAAGUAAUGCAAGUUAUUUAUGCUUUAUGUUGGGCCCAGUACCAAAUGACCCACUGACCAGUACCGGUUCACGGCCUGCUGCUCUAGAUGAUGGGACGGUGGAGCAGCUCUUUGAGCUCAGCAAAAGGGGAUGGUCCUGGGGAGGGCUGGAGCCUAUCCGAGCUGUCUUCGGGCAGUAGGCGUGGGACACCCUGAACUGGUUGCCAGCCAAUCGCAGGGCAUACAGAGACGAACAACCAUCCGCGCUAACACUCACACCUAGGGACAAUUUUGAGUGUUCAAACAGCCUGCCAUGCAUGUCUUUGGAAUGUGGGAGGAAACCGGAGUGCCCGGAGAAAACCCACGCAGGCCCGGGGAGAACAUGCAAACUCCACACCCGGUACCUCUGCACUGUGAAGUUGACGUGCUAACCACUGGACUACCGCCACCUAUGGUAUAGUAUACAACUAUAAUGUUUUGGGUGUUGCCAGGAUGCACAUUUAUAACUUUUUUUAUUUAUGCAUUUGUGACUGAUAUACUAUUGCUAUAAGAAAAAAAAUGAAGACUGAAUUAUUUUAUACGUUUAUAUGGUAUAAUUUUGGGCAAGAGGAAAUUGA